GACGAACGCUGGCGGCGUGCUUAACACAUGCAAGUCGAACGGAAAGGCCUGCUUUCCCUUGUGGAUUGCGGGUACUCGAGUGGCGAACGGGUGAGUAACACGUGAGUGAUCUGCCCCCAACUUGGGUAUAAGCCUGGGAAACUGGGUCUAAUUCCCGAUAGGACUGCAGGGUGGUGCCUGUGGUGGAAAACGAUUUUCUAGUGGUUGGGGAUGAGCUCGCGGCCUAUCAGCUUGUUGGUGGGGUAAUGGCCUACCAAGGCGGCGACGGGUAGCCGGCCUGAGAGGGUGGACGGCGACAGUGAGACUGAGAUACGGCCCAGACUCCUACGGGAGGCAGCAGUGGGGAAUAUUGCACAAUGGGCGGAAGCCUGAUGCAGCGACGCAGCGUGGGGGAUGACGGGCUUCGGGUUGUAAGCUCCUUUCGACCGCGAGGAAGCCACCUGGUUGGAAGGGUGGUGACGGUAGUGGGAGAAGAAGCACCGGCUAACUACGUG
rnacentral:rRNA from 1 species